CAAACAAGAGCUGGCACUAUUAUUCACCCAUGGCACACUCAGGCAUGCUGAGGCCUGCUUGCCAAAUGGGGCCGUCUUGGAGACAGUUCCCACAACAAUAUUUUGUAGGAACUCUUGGAAAUAAUUUGUUAAAGUUUUUCAUUUGGAAACUUGAGGUAUUUUUGGAGUCUCCAAAAUGAAAGGUCGUGUUGGAUGGUAGCAGCUGGUGGGAACCUGAAGCUGAAACUGGACAAAGAGAAGGAACAGAAGACGAAGCUAGCAAGCUUCCCAUGAUUUCACUGCAAUUCAUUACGUGACCUUCUCCAGCCACACUGGACACCCUUUCACAUUUCCUCCCCAGCAAUCCAGAAGCCCUGCAACAGCCACCUUUAGGAAAUCUUUGCAGUAUUAAUAAAAAUACUUCUCUGAGCGGGGGGCCAAGUACUUUCUAGGCACCACUAAGGAGAAUUACCCAGGC
rnacentral:lncRNA from 10 species